ensembl:lncRNA
GUGAGGGUGGGUCAGUUAAGGAUGGCUUUAGUGCCCUCUGUCUUUCCUGACGAGCCUGCCCCACCCCUGGAGCCCCGGGACUUCCUGCUCUCGCUGUCCACCUUCACAUGCUGAGCUCGGACCUGGUCACAACAACAGCCCAGACCCUGAGAGCACCCCGAGAGGCCUCUCUCUCACGACCUCUCACUCCAGGCAGGGAGGCUGCAAAUAUAGGGUGGGCUUGGCAAGGACACCGUCUUCACUGGACAAGGAUGCCAUGCUCUUACUGCUUUGGAGGUUUGAUGCAAUGGGCCCUUCAGAGGAGUGACUUUGGGGAAAGUCUCUGUACUUCAGUUUCCUCACCUCAUGGAAGAUCUUAAGUCCCUGAUCUGGGAUUGAACCUGCACCUCCUGCACUGGAAAGGAGCCUUUGGCGGACUGGGUUAGAGCAGCAUCGGUGGAGGGAGUUGUAUUUCUGUGUAAGUGACGCUCAGAGAGGUCGAACGUCUCAGGGGAGGUCACACAGCGGGGAGAGGCAGCUGACUUUCCGGACUUCACAUUUCAAAUUCAGACUCGGCGCAAGUCUCCUCCACCCCUCCUUGUCGCUCCUGGAACCCGGGCACCCCCCGGCGCUCUGCGGAGCCUGGUUGCUGUGAGUAAGAGUACAGAAAGCGAUCUCUCGCGGUGGGUUCCGCCGCCCCAGCUCGCUGUGAGCCCAUGGC